CCCUCCGUGGAGCAACGAAGCUCGCUCCCGCGGUUUGAAGUAGAAACGGAUCCGGGAGAGCCGGCGGUUCGAGCCCGCCCGGAGGCA